CCUACGGGGGGCAGCAGUGGGGAAUAUUGGACAAUGGGCGAAAGCCUGAUCCAGCCAUGCCGCGUGUGUGAAGAAGGCCUUCGGGUUGUAAAGCACUUUCAGUGGGGAAGAAAGCCUUGGGGCUAAUACCCUCGAGGAAGGACAUCACCCACAGAAUAAGCACCGGCUAACUCCGUGCCAGCAGCCGCGGUAAUACGGAGGGUGCGAGCGUUAAUCGGAAUUACUGGGCGUAAAGCGCGCGUAGGCGGUCUGAUAAGCCGGUUGUGAAAGCCCCGGGCUCAACCUGGGAACGGCAUCCGGAACUGUCAGGCUAGAGUGCAGGAGAGGAAGGUAGAAUUCCCUGUGUAGCGGUGAAAUGCGUAGAGAUCGGGAGGAAUACCAGUGGCGAAGGCGGCCUCCUGGACUGACACUGACGCUGAGGUGCGAAAGCGUGGGUAGCAAACAGGAUUAGAUACCCCGGUAGUC
rnacentral:rRNA from 1 species